rnacentral:rRNA from 1 species
AUUGAACGCUGGCGGCAGGCCUAACACAUGCAAGUCAAGCGGAUGAAGGGAGCUUGCUCCUGGAUUCAGCGGCGGACGGGUGAGUAAUGCCUAGGAAUCUGCCUGGCAGUGGGGGAUAACGUCCGGAAACGGGCGCUAAUACCGCAUACGUCCUGAGGGAGAAAGUGGGGGAUCUUCGGACCUCACGCUAUCAGAUGAGCCUAGGUCGGAUUAGCUAGCUGGUGGGGUAAAGGCCUACCAAGGCGACGAUCCGCAACUGGUCUGAGAGGAUGAUCAGUCACACUGGAACUGAGACACGGUCCAGACUCCUACGGGAGGCAGCAGUGGGGAAUAUUGGGCAAUGGGCGAAAGCCUGAUCCAGCCAUGCCGCGUGUGUGAAGAAGGUCUUCGGAUUGUAAAGCACUUUAAGUUGGGAGGAAGAGCAGUAAGUUAAUACCUUGCUGUUUUGACGUUACCAACAGAAUAAGCACCGGCUAACUUCGUG